rnacentral:hammerhead_ribozyme from 1 species
AUCCAGCUGACGAGUCGAAAAUAGGACAAAAUCGGCGUCCUAGAU